rnacentral:misc_RNA from 1 species
AACGCACAUUGCGCCCCUUGGUAUUCCAUGGGGCAUGCCUGUUCGAGCGUCAUUUGUACCCUCCAGCCCUGCUGGGUGUUGGGCGUUUUGUUCCGCUGCGCGCGUGAACUCGCCUCAAAUGCAUUGGCAGCCCGCCGUCCCGUGUGGGAGCGCAGCACAUUUUGCGCUCUCCGCUGCUGACGGUGGCAUCCACAAGUCUACCAUUUUACGCUUGACCUCGGAUCAGGUAGGGAUACCCGCUGAACUUAA